UGGCCUCAGAUCAGGGAGGAUCACC
rnacentral:rRNA from 27 species